rnacentral:lncRNA from 1 species
UAAAUAGAAACUGAUAUUUAGGACUGAGACAUUUGUCCAAACUAUCAACAUGAAUGUUUUUACCUCUGGAAUAUACCUUUAAACAGCUGUCUCUUUAAUGUUGGGAGAAGAGAAAAAAAAAAAAAAAAAAAAAAAAAAAAAAAAAGGUUUAUAUAUUGGCAAUUAUUAACAGAAAAAAAUAUUGCUAUAUUGCAAUGAAUUCACUGAAUGAGAACAACAGUCUUUCUAACUCUAGGGUACUUAUAUAAGGCUUUGGAAAACAGCUAUUGAUUAGUUUAUUGAAGAAGAGUUACAGCAAGGUUAUGUUUUAUUUACUACUUUGAAUUUUUAGUAUCAGUGAACAGAUUAUUUUUUUUUUUUUCUCCAAGCUAUUUUUAAUGUGGUUGCUUUUGAGAAGCCUCUGGAGAAGUAAGAGCUGAAGAAGGCAAUCUUAUAAGGACUUUGUUUUGGAGAUUUUCCUCAAGAUAUAUGUUACCACUGCUGAGGAAAUCGUUGGGAUUAGUACUGUUGUAGCUGCAGACAAGGCAGAAGCCUUUUAUAAAUUACUUGUUGAAGAACUUUCAAGGUUUCUUAGAUUGUUUCUCAAACAUGCAUAUGUUCAGCUUAGGACCCAACAGUUAUUUACAUUAAGGUUUUAUGUUUAUGUGAUGAGGACAAGAAGGAGAACAGAGAAUCAUUUUACUUUCCAGAAAAUAGAUCUUCCUAAUCUGCACAAUCGAAAAAUUCAGUGCACUAGUAAUGAUAUCCAUGUGCAUAAAGUACCUGGUUUGCCUUGAAUAUUUAUAGUGAGACAAGAUGUUCUCAUCCAUUUUUAGAUAUUGGAAAAAAAGUAAAUCCCUCAAAGGAAAAAGAAAGAAUUCUGAGCUCAGGUUGUGUAAUUAUACAUAAUAACUUUGACGCCUAGAUAGAUAAGUUGAUUCACAUGAGAUCAGGACCUAUCCAAAAUUUUUUAUGUUAACUUGUCUAACAUAAACCCCAAAGAUUUUUUGGUAGCCUUUGCCAGUAAAUCAAACAGUUUGCAUGAAUAUUAAUGCUUACUAAAAUAAGGUAUUAAUAAUAAUAGCUAGAUCUAGAUACACUGUGCAAGGCACCUCUGAUACUUUUCAUUCACAAUUAUUCUAAUAUACAUCAGUCACUUUGAAGAAAGAAGUUACUUCUUCUUUGUCAAUAUUUUACAUAUUCUUGACAAAAGAAUGACUUGUUGUUGUUAUUGACAAUGCAUAUGCACGGCUUUCUGUCAUCUUCAGAUUGCAUGCUUUCCAGUCACUGCUCACUUAUUUCUCAUAACUUGCUUUCAAAGCAUGUAUGCAAGAGGGAAAUAUGUAUGCUUCAUAGUAAUAAAACUUAACUUUAGUCACCA